rnacentral:rRNA from 1 species
UGAGGAAUAUUGCUCAAUGGGCGAAAGCCUGAAGCAGCGACGCCGCGUGGGCGAAGAAGGUCUUCGGAUCGUAAAGCCCUUUUCUGCGUGACGAGGAAGGACGGUAGCGCAGGAAUAAGUGUCGGCUAACUACGUGCCAGCAGCCGCGGUAAAACGUAGGACGCAAGCGUUAUCCGGAAUUACUGGGCGUAAAGAGCGUGUAGGCGGCACGGUAAGUCAACCGUGAAAGCUCCCGGCUAAACUGGGAGAGGUCGGAUGAGACUGCCGAGCUAGAGGGUCGUAGAGGGGUGUGGAAUUCCGGGUGUAGUGGUGAAAUGCGUAGAGAUCCGGAGGAACACCAGAGGCGAAGGCGGCACCCUGGACGACACCAGACGCUGAGACGCGACAGCACGGGGAGCGAACGGGAUUAGAAACCCUGGUAGUCCGUGCCGUAAACGAUGUGCACUAGAUGUUCGGUCCUCUACGGGGGAGUGAGCGUCGCAGCCAACGCGGUAAGUGCACCGCCUGGGGAGUACGGUCGCAAGGCUA